rnacentral:rRNA from 1 species
GGGGGCUGCUCCUAGUACGAGAGGACCGGAGUGGACGCAUCACUGGUGUUCGGGUUGUCAUGCCAAUGGCACUGCCCGGUAGCUAAAUGCGGAAGAGAUAAGUGCUGAAAGCAUCUAAGCACGAAACUUGCCCCGAGAUGAGUUCUCCCUGACUCCUUGAGAGUCCUGAAGGAACGUUGAAGACGACGACGUUGAUAGGCCGGGUGUGUAAGCGCAGCGAUGCGUUGAGCUAACCGGUACUAAUGAACCGUGAGGCUUAACCUU